rnacentral:rRNA from 1 species
UACGUAGGGUGCAAGCGUUAAUCGGAAUUACUGGGCGUAAAGCGUGCGCAGGCGGUUGUGCAAGACAGAUGUGAAAUCCCCGGGCUUAACCUGGGAAUUGCAUUUGUGACUGCACGGCUAGAGUGUGUCAGAGGGGGGUAGAAUUCCACGUGUAGCAGUGAAAUGCGUAGAUAUGUGGAGGAAUACCGAUGGCGAAGGCAGCCCCUG